rnacentral:tRNA from 1 species
GGGGGCCUCGCCGGGGUGGCCGUCGCGUGGCUGCUACCCGCGCCGGUCGAGGGCCUCGAGUUCGCUCUCGUCGCCCUCU